AUGGGUGACGGCAAAUCAAAUGAUAUUUUUCCCACUCUGAACUCUUUUUGUUUCUGCAUUUCCUUGCGGACAGGAUCACUAUGCAUUGCAUGGUAUUACUUGAUUGCUGGACUCAUGGGAAUAAUUCCUAUGCUACCAAAACAGUAUGACUUCAUAACAUCAAUAUCCACCACCGGCAACACAGGUGAAAUGAUAACUCGUCUUCUUAUCGUUGAAUACUACUUUUUACUCUUACUCAUGGUGAUCUCUUGCAUAUUUCUCAUCGAUGGAAUCCGCAAGAAAAUACCGAAAGAAGUACGUCCGUUCAUUUUUAUGGAUGUAUUUUUUUCAUCCAUGAAAUUUUUGUGAUUUUGCUACUUUUGUUCACGCCUUUGAGACAUGACGCUGAGACGUUUCUCACGCCGAUUUCGACGGUCGUCGCGACAGCCCUGACGAAUCCUUGGCUGAAAGCUUUCGAUUUAGGUGAGUACAUGUGCCUUUCUUAAUUGUUCUUAAAGUCUCUCCUUAAUUUCGGGGUCUAUAUGGUAGAGCGUAUUUCCUGCGUACUCCAAAUUAAAAAAAAUUUGCUCUUAGCCUUCAUUCGAUUUCUGGUAAUCGUAUUUAAAAGAGGAAGUCUAUUCGAAGACUUAAUGUUCGGAAAAAGAGUUUUACUCCACACUAUUGUGCUGACAAGAUACAAAUGGACUAUAAUUUUAAAUUGGAAACUAUACAAUUUCUGGCUCAUCUGUAAAAACUUUGAUGCGCAAAGGGGAGCUAAUGAUACGCAAACGUUGUUCCUAAAUGGAGCCAGAAAUUGUAGUCAGCUUUAAUUGUAUACAUAUAGAUGGUUAUAGUGCCAAACCACGCAUCUCCGUUUGCGACGCUGCAAAAUUCCUAGCAUAGUUUAUUUUUUUUUGGAAAACUAGUCAACGUAAUUUCUUGAGAAUUUCCUUGUUUUUCCUCUAUGAUAGUAGACUACUCUGUAUGAAUUUCAAGCUGUAAAGUUACGCUUGUUUCUAAUCGAAAAAAAUAAACAGGAGCGGGAAUUUUGCAAAACCGCAAUGAAGAUACGAGGUUUUGCAGUUUGGCCAACGAUAGGUAUACCAUAAUUCUUCAAAUUUAAAGAAAUCAUGACAACUUACCUAUCAUGUUGAGCAUUUGCGAGAACGAAUACCUAGAAUUACAUAGUUCCAUUAAAACGUACCUGCAGCAUAAACUUUGACCCGAGAAAAAGAGGUCAAACGUUUAUCGUAUUCCCGUAAGACUUAAUACUAAGGACUAGCGACUAUUUUCUCGUUCAGAAUAUUUUUCCCCUCUACGAAUUAUUGAAAGAAAAAAUGUUUCGACUUGUACUAAAAACUUCUUCCGACUCAUUUUUUUAUUUUUUAAAAAAAAUGCGACUUGGUGCGUUUCUUUUAAACUCGAUCCAGAUGUAUCACGUAUACAUACAGCGUGAUCCAUAUGAGUCCCACUUUUUUCGGCCCUCCCCCCCCACCCCACAAUUCUGAUCGGCCCCUUCCAAAAAUGUCAAAGAAUCGAGCUACUAAUUAGUUUUGAGGUAGAAGGCAUAGGGAAUGUAAUAAAUAUAAGCUUAAUCCUAAUAUAAUCGAUCAAAGAUGUCAAGAGAUGAAAUAUCUCGCAAAGAGAGCAGCUUCCUCCGAUUAAGGAACGUGGAAGGUAGUUUAACUGUAUCCGGUGGUUUUUCGCGCAUUUUAGCGCAAUACUUGUUUUCAUGAGAGUUAAAUUAAGAUGAAUUUAAUUAAAACCCACAGUGAGAUAUGAUAUUUUUAAAAACAAGUCAGCAAAAUUUCUGGUAUCUGUAAUAUUGAAUUCCAUUUAAUUUGUCAUUGAGAAUGGUUUAAAAUUGCUCUCGAGACGUUCCAAUGUUCAAAAAUUUUCCAGGGGAGGCCCCCCGGUCCCCCCAGACCUCUCUUAGCCCAUGUUCUAUAUGGACGUAUUUCUGUCAAACGGAACUAUGUGCAUUAUGACGUGAGCCCUGUUAUGCAUAUAUUCUUAUGGAUUUCAGAGUUCAUGUCUAAAUGCACAUAGUUCCGUUUGACAGAAAUACGUCUAUGUCCUCCUGUGCCCCCCUCUACAGAAAAUUCCUUGUUCCGCCCAUGCUCAUAUGCUCAUAAUACAUUUGUGAUUUCCUUUUAUAAGAUCUGUUUCUAUUUACACUAUACAUUGAUUAAAGAUUUUUAAAAUGAGAUUUUAAUUGUAUUUGGUUUCAGUUCUUGCUGCGUACUUACUUCUGACCGUUCAUAGUUAUCACAAAGAGCUAAAGCGAGAAGUUGGUCAGAACAACAGUGGAGCCAUCGUCUAAGGUGGAUGUCCUCAAGACUUUACUUGAACAAAAAAGGGGUGCUAUUUAAUUCCUCUUGGAUUUUUUGACUUGCUUGCCUUUUCUUUUUUACUUAUUGUGUUUUUGGAAGUUUAAAAUACCACUGAAACUUAACUUGUAGUAUUAGUUGAAAAGACUGAUAAUUAUUGUGACACUAACAGUACGCCUUAUGAAUUAUGCGGUUCAGUCAGCUUUCUCAAAUAAGCCCGAUUCGGUCUUAAAAAGGAAAAUCUUAGCCCUUUAGGCAUUUCGAUCCUUGGUAAUUAAACAUCAUACUAAGAGAAGUCAAUAGAAAUACUUAUUUCAAUCUUUUAAAUUGAUGAUUGGGGAACAAAAAAAAAAAUGCUAAUAAACGUUAUCGGUACUGCUCUGCCUCUUAUCACUAUUAUCUUUAAACAAGGUUUAAAAAAAAAAUUAAGACAAACGAUUUUUAUUGCAUACUAUAAUUUAUAAUGAUGUCCACUCAAAACCAUUAAGUUAACUUCUUGAAAUUAAUCAGUCUUUCAUGUAUGUACCUUUCCUAAAUAACAAGAAACGUUUGAGUGUGUAAUUUACAAUUUAUCUCAAGCUGGUGUUGAUUCUGGGGCCUCCCAAUUCUAACGUUCGGAUAUUAUUACGCAGAAAUCACUCCAAGAUUAGGAUUACUUCACAUUUUUUCUUCUUUAUUACUGAUCGGAAGUGAUACAGACUUAUCUACUAUUGUUAAACACUACGGGUUUACAUUGCUAAUGUAUUUAUUUUUACAGAUAAGAAAAUUGAUUUAUUUUUACUGAAAAUGCUAAAUUGUUUUUUUUUAUUUUUAUACUUUUUGCUUGAACAUUGAAGUAAAUAAAUUUGCCGAGUGAAUCACAGUCUGUUUAUUUUCCUUAAAAUAAGUCCACCCCCUCAUAUUUAAAGGUUCAGUGCGUGACCAUAUAGAUUGAUAUUAUUGAGAUAUUGAAGGGAAAAAGAUAACAUGGAGGGUUUAACAUUUUUUCCUCCACUUUUUCUUGACCUUGGAGGAAUACCUUGCCAAAAUUCUGAUUAGGCUGAUGUUAUUUACUUCGGAAUAAAAUUUAUUCUGCUGGAAGAAUUCAGAGUUGAAUGUCUAUCAUUCCAGUAUAGAACAAUGUCUAGCUAUAAAGAUAUACCUAGACUUUAUUCUAUAUUUUAAGUUGGUAUUAUGCAUCUGAUUAUUUAAAACACAAUUCUCUCACGACGCCAUUUUGCCACUCACUCCAUUUUUCCACCAACAUCCUCUUACAAGAGAUAAGCAUCCAUAGUUAUGACGGGAUAAUCCGGUAGACAAAUAGGCACAAAAAAAAGAAUGUACGCAAGCAGAUUGGAAAAUGUUCGUAAGAAAAUGAAAUAAAAAUACUAAAGAUAAAAAGGUCAAUUUUGUUUUUAAUAAAUUAAUAUAAAUCUAUAAACUUAAUUUCUUAAAGAAGCAAUUGUAGGUUGUACACAUAUACAAGAAUUUAGGAACUAAUAUUUAUUUACAACUUUAAUCAAAUCGGUAAUCGUUCAAAUCUUUCCGUGUUUCGUUUGCAUUUUUCAUUAUUUGCAAAACGAAUAAUCAUACAGAUUUCAAAAAAAAGUCAGUCAAAAGAAAUGACCUAUUCAAAAAUGUAAAAUGUCUGUCUCGAAUAAUUUUUAAUUGAAGUAAACACUAGUAUCUGAGAAGAAAUUAUAAAAUAUCUCAAUCAUCUUGGUUUGGUAGUUUUGGAAAGUGUGAGACAUUCUAAAGAAGUUACAUUUCUUGGUUCAGUCACUUUUUUGGGACGGGAGAUCCUUACCCACUAAAUAAAAUAUUUUAAUGUAAAGCUUAGUCUAGAAGUUUAGUCUAACUUUUCAGACCUUUGCGUUUCCGAGAACACUCACAAAGCGUCCUCAGUUGGCUAAAGUGCCAACAAUCCACAUUUGUAAUGACUUAAGGAUAGGGAUUCGCUAAUAAAUUUAGCAAACUGUUAUAAAUGCCAAUUUUCUCCGCAAGUGUCUAAAGUGCUCAGAAUUUCAUACGAAGCAAAUGAGCGCGCCCUUUUUCCUUAUUUUAAUAGACGUGGCUAGGGGGAUCUAACAAUACCUUCUCGACCAUACCUGGUCACGCCCAGAUUGAGGUUAUGUCGUUAGUAAAUCGAUGAAACGCCUGUUUAUCAAUGGCAGUGUAAUGGGAAAUUGUGAGUUUGACGUUAAUUUACUAUAGUACGGUCAAUUUUCAUCAUUUUUUUUGUGUGUUGUGACUCCCCAAGUUCCCCCUGAAGAUAUGAGCAGUUACAGUUGUGUUUAAACUCGUUACAAGGAAAAUAUUGAAGAUUUGAUCAGUACCUAAUCUUGCGCUUCAUGCAGAUUGCUGCUACUAGGAUGGAAAUAAUUGAUUUUCGUUCAAGUGGUGGAGUUUUCAUCAUAGGAAAGUGAUUUUAAAUCAUCUACUCUCAUUAUAGUUCUGUAAUACAAAAAUGCAGUCUCGAAUUCCUGUCUCAUAUGCAACCAUGAAGCCCAUUCUGAGGUUUGUGCUCGCAUUUUUCCUGUGGGAUUUCAUUACCUACCUACCCAGUUCAAACCCACAGGAAGUUUUUCUGUAAGAUUGCUCUCUUUCCUAAGCAGAUAUGGCACUCUUUUGCAGUCAGACAAGUUCACCUCUUAAAUUAGUAUCUUGUAAAUGAUUUCCUUUCUCAUCCACUAAGUAUUUAAGUACCUUCUGCUCGCCAAAUCAGCUCGCUGUUGCAGUGUGAAAGCCCAAAUUUUUGCUUUGACAAUCAGUUUUGAAUCUAGUGGUCUCUUGUCAGUCCAAUUGCUCAAAACUGUUCAUCAAAGUUAUUUUCAUCGUAGUGUUUCGACCUCCGACAUGAAUGCCAAGGACCAAUGAGGGCAUCUGAAAGCAAGAGUAAGUACUCUAAGGCAAAAGUAAAGGACGUUAAUGCCAGAAAAAUUGCCAAAUUGAGCUCCAAGGGCUCUUUGUAAGUAGUAAGUAUUACCACGAAUCCCAAUCACCUAAGUUCUCUC
rnacentral:lncRNA from 1 species